GAUGAACGCUAGCGGCAGGCCUAACACAUGCAAGUCGAGGGGUAACAUAGGAAAGCUUGCUUUUCUGAUGACGACCGGCGCACGGGUGCGUAACGCGUAUACAACCUACCUUUUAGCGGGGAAUAGCCCAGGGAAACUUGGAUUAAUGCCCCAUAGUAUAUAGACUUCUCCUGAAGUUUAUAUUAAACAUUUAUGGCUAUUAGAUGGGUAUGCGUCCUAUUAGUUAGUUGGUAAGGUAACGGCUUACCAAGGCAGCGAUAGGUAGGGGUCCUGAGAGGGAGAUCCCCACACUGGUACUGAGACACGGACCAGACUCCUACGGGAGGCAGCAGUGAGGAAUACUGGACAAUGGGCGAGAGCCUGAUCCAGCCAUGCCGCGUGCAGGAAGACUGCCCUAUGGGUUGUAAACUGCUUUUACAGAGGAAGAACCACCCCCACGUGUGGGGGUUUGACGGUACUCUGCGAAUAAGGAUCGGCUAACUCCGUG
rnacentral:rRNA from 1 species